rnacentral:rRNA from 1 species
CCUACGGGAGGCAGCAGUGGGGAAUAUUGGGCAAUGGGCGCAAGCCUGACCCAGCAACGCCGCGUGAAGGCAGGAGGCUUUCGGGUUGUAAACUUCUUUUCUCAGGGAAGAAGAAGGUGCAGGUUCAUGAGGCAUCAGCCACGGCUAACUACGUGCCAGCAGCCUCGGUAAUACGUAGGUGGAACUCGGUCACCGGAUUUAUUGGGUGUAAAGGGCGUGUUGGAGGGAGCGCAAGUCCGAUGUGAAACCCCAGGGCUCAACCCUGAGCCUGAAUUUGAAACUGUGGUUCUUGAGUGCUGGAGAGGCAAUCGGAAUUCCGUGUGUAGCGGUGAAAUGCGUAGAUAUACGGAGGAACACCAGUGGCGAAGGCGGAUUGCUGGACAGUAACUGACGCUGAGGCGCGAAAGCGUGGGGAGCAAACAGGAUUAGAUACCCCAGUAGUA